GAUAGAUUCAAUAAAAUAUAUUAAAGGGGAUAUCACCACAGAUUCCACAGAAAUUCAAACCAUCAUCAGAGAUCAAUACAAACAGCUCUAUGUACAUAGGCUA